rnacentral:rRNA from 1 species
UACGUAGGGAGCGAGCGUUGUCCGGAUUUACUGGGUGUAAAGGGUGCGUAGGCGGACUUGCAAGUCAGAAGUGAAAUCCACGGGCUUAACCUGUGAACUGCUUUUGAAACUGUAGGUCUUGAGUGAAGUAGAGGUAGGCGGAAUUCCCGGUGUAGCGGUGAAAUGCGUAGAGAUCGGGAGGAACACCAGUGGCGAAGGCGGCCUACUGGGCUUUAACUGACGCUGAGGCACGAAAGUGUGGGUAGCAAACAGG